rnacentral:rRNA from 1 species
UACAGAGGGGGCCAGCGUUAUUCGGAAUUAUUGGGCGUAAAGGGCGCGUAGGCGGCCAUGCGUGUCUUCCGUGAAAUCCCUCGGCUCAACCGGGGAACGACGCAUGAAACUGGCAAGCUAGAGUACCAAAGAGGGGGGUGGAAUUCCCGGUGUAGCGGUGAAAUGCGCAGAUAUCAGGAGGAACACCGGUGGCGAAGGCGGGUCUCUGGGCCGAUACUGACGCUGAGGUGCGAAAGCGUGGGGAGCAAACAGG